rnacentral:rRNA from 1 species
UACGUAGGCAGCGAGCGUUGUUCGGAAUUACUGGGCGUAAAGAGUGUGUAGGCGGUGCUCCCAGUCUGUUGUGAAAUCUCCCGGCUUAACUGGGAGGGUGCGCCGGAAACUGGAGGACUGGAGUGCCGGAGAGGAUAGCGGAAUUCCUGGUGUAGCGGUGAAAUGCGUAGAUAUCAGGAGGAACACCUGCGGUGUAGACGGCUAUCUGGACGGUUACUGACGCUGAGACACGAAAGCGUGGGUAGCAAACAGG